GUGUAUGUAUUCCAAAUGGCAGAGAAACUGUAUUCAGAGUGCAGUAAUGUACAGGUUCGAGUCCUGUCAUACACA
rnacentral:tRNA from 2 species